CAGCAGCCGCGGUAAUACGAAGGGUGCAAGCGUUAAUCGGAAUUACUGGGCGUAAAGCGUGCGUAGGCGGUUUGUUAAGUCUGCUGUGAAAUCCCCGGGCUCAACCUGGGAAUGGCAGUGGAUACUGGCAAGCUAGAGUGUGUCAGAGGAUGGUGGAAUUCCCGGUGUAGCGGUGAAAUGCGUAGAGAUCGGGAGGAACAUCAGUGGCGAAGGCGGCCAUCUGGGACAACACUGACGCUGAGGCACGAAAGCGUGGGGAGCAAACAGGAUUAGAUACCCCUGUAGUCCCUGUCUCUUAUAA
rnacentral:rRNA from 1 species